AGCCUUUUGUUCCUGUUAAGGAAAGAUUUAGGGGAAAAAAAUCAGACAGUCAAAAUAUAAACUAGACAAAGGACAGUGCAAUAUAAAUUCAGUAUUUGGCAUCGUUGGUUUUCUUGGCUUUGUGCAUGUUAGACCUGGUAUUUCUACUGAUACAGUA
rnacentral:snoRNA from 1 species